rnacentral:hammerhead_ribozyme from 1 species
ACACUGCUGUGGAGUCCACAAUAGGACGAAACGACCGUCCAGUGC